rnacentral:rRNA from 1 species
GACGAACGCUGGCGGCGUGCUUAACACAUGCAAGUCGAACGGUGAAGCUCCAGCUUGCUGGUGUGGAUCAGUGGCGAACGGGUGAGUAACACGUGAGCAACCUGCCCCUGACUCUGGAAUAAGCGCUGGAAACGGCGUCUAAUACUGGAUACGAGAAGGGUCCGCAUGGGCACUUUCUGGAAAGUUUUUCGGUUGGGGAUGGGCUCGCGGCCUAUCAGCUUGUUGGUGAGGUAAUGGCUCACCAAGGCGACGACGGGUAGCCGGCCUGAGAGGGCGACCGGCCACACUGGGACUGAGACACGGCCCAGACUCCUACAGGAGGCAGCAGUGGGGAAUAUUGCACAAUGGUCGAAAGCCUGAUGCAGCGACGCCGCGUGAGGGAUGACGUCCUUCGGGUUGUAAACCUCUUUCAGCAGAUAAGAAGCGAAAGUGACGGUACCUGCAGAAGAAGCACCGGCUAACUACGUG